GAUGCUUACACAACCUCUUUGUGAAGCCACUUCUGGGCUUAACUUCAUUCAUCAAUUUAUUUUUACGUCAAAGCAAUGAAACGCUUCUUUGUGGAGCCAGAUACCAGUAUAACAGGUGAAUGGGUUUCUGCCACAUCUCCACAUUACUGGGGGGGAUGCUUGAACCACCUCCCUAGGACACACACCUUUAAGGCACAAGGGCUGGGGUUGAGCUCUAGAUAAGGGACUUUCCUGCUCCUGCAAGGGUGAGCACUGUAUACACAGACAAGGAGGGCGCAGCAGAGUGGCUCCCUCGGGUGGAAGUAGUACCAUCAGAAGCUCCUGUUAUUAUGAGAUACAUUCUAUUGAUGUACAUUGAGAGAAUACCACAAUCAACACUUUUACCUGGGAUGACUUUAAGAGGUUUGAGCCAAAGUACCUGAAGUGGCAAAGAUCCGUGGUCUUUGUGGGGUAUCAGAGAAGCGUUCCAGGCACUCUGGAUCUUGCAGCUGAGUGGAUGAAGGGUAAACACAUCUGCGGAGCACCGAGAGGAGUCAGAGUUAGCAUUUUUCAUGAAAAUUCUCCCACAUCUCUACUAAGAAUGAGGAGGAAAAGAUGAAGACUAAGUAAUUACACUGAGGUUUGAAAUGUUACGUCACCAGAGCCAAGUCCUCUCCCUUCAGAUAGGUUACUGGCUGCUACACAGGGACACCCCCACCUUUUCAGGGCAUCCCAUGCACCCCAGUUCUCAGAAUCUAAGGAAUUUGACUUUGUAGGGAUCCCAGAAAGGGCACCGUGCCACUUCCCCUGGUGUGAAUCAGACAUACAUUGUACAUUCAUUUCUAAAAUUCACUCAUGCACCUCAAACCAAGGUCAUUAUCAAAAAGCUCUGGGUGGAAGAGCUUGUAGGUUUUUUAAGAGUGGGUCAUUUCUAUGUGAGGAAAUGCAGAAAUGGACAGAAUGAUUCUUAUUCACUGUUUGGGUCUGGAGAAUUCCCGUUAUGGAAUUCUUAGAGAUCUCAAGUUUAUUACCAAGGGAAUUAGGAAAAAGAAGUGAGCAGGCACCAGGCCAAGCAGUGACUCCCUUGCCAAGGAACCUGAGGCUGCAGGAUUCAGGGACCUCCUUGAGGAAACCUCUCCUGGCCACUGGCCAGGAGAAAAGAGAAGGUUCUAUAGAGUGAAAAGAAGCAAAAGAGAGUGGGUCACUGGGUCCUGUACAUAGCACCCAACCCCAAGACUUCCCAACAUGGAGAAACUAUACCAGUGUUUAAAAGGGGGAAAGGAAAGAACUUGCACAUCAAGGGAAGACGAUUUGUAAACACACAGUCCUGUGCAAAAAGAUCUCCUUCAGGAGGUGUCUCCAGCAUCCCAAAGCUGUGCGCACCUCCUCUUUUCCUGCUCAGGCCACCUAUGCAUCCAGCUGCAGCCCAUCCCCACACCUGAAAUCCAUCUCUUGAAUCCCAGCCAGAUUAUAUACCACCCCAUUUCCAUGUCCUGUCCUGCCCAGAAUGCAUGCUGUUCUCCCAGAGCCUGAUGGGAAUGAGGCCUUGCAAUGAGGCCAUGGGAAACAGAGAUGAGCAUGUCUGGACAAGUCUGUGAUGGUAGUGGAUGAGAAUAACCCAUGGCAAAACACACACGCUCAUUAAGAAAUAGGGUGACAGAUUCCCCAUUGGUGAAGCACUGAAAGGUCUAUUACUCUCAUAACAUUGCUGUUUCAUUUUAAUCCACCAGAGCUACCAUGCAAAACUUUCCUCCAGUGAAAGGCUCCAGAUAAAGCUCCCCUCUCCUCGUGUCCUCCUGCUCAGACCCACCUUCAUCCGCCAAACCAAUCUGUAUCAUGCCUGUUAUCAGAGAGGCACAGAAAGAUGGGCACUGCCUCCAUUGUCACUGUUCCCCACACCCCUACACACCCCCACAUCCUCCCCUCCAGGCUCCACGACUUCACAGUCUUACUGUUGUAAAUAUCAUUGUACAGUUUGUAAUCCUCAAAUAAUCCCAUUGUCAGAGGCCUCGCCUGAUGGCCUUCUCACCCUCGAGAAAGGCCAGGGAACCUGGAAGGGGCAACCCUUCAAGGAGAGCUUCAGGGUCACCUCUGUGUGAGACACUAUUGUAUAUUCCUGUAAGAUUGCAUUUUUAUCUAAGGAAUGAUGUUAUUUAAAAAACAAACAAAAAACACAAAAAAUAAGAAUUGCAAAUAAAUUUCUUAACAAUGUCUA
ensembl:lncRNA